UACGUAGGUCCCGAGCGUUGUCCGGAUUUACUGGGUAUAAAGGGUGCGUAGGCGGUUUUGUGCGUCAGAGGUGAAAGGUCAGUGCUUAACAUUGAUACUGCCUUUGAAACGGCGAAACUUGAGUAUGAGAGAGGUUUGUAGAAUUCCUGGUGUAGCGGUGAAAUGCGUAGAUAUCAGGAGGAAUACCGGUGGCGAAGGCGGCAAACUGGCUCAUAACUGACGCUGAGGCACGAAAGCGUGGGGAUCAAACAGG
rnacentral:rRNA from 1 species